rnacentral:lncRNA from 1 species
GCAGUACUUAAAGGACUUGGGAGAGAGAAAGAUGAAAGAGAAAGAACUGCCAUUGAGAGGGGCGUAGGUAGGACUAGCCUCGUCAGAAAUUCUGAAGUCUACUGAAAUAGACCAAAAGGGACCUAUGGAUAUAGAAUUUUGCAUUACAGUAUACAGCAACAGACCAAACUUCAACACCAGAGGGAAGAUUGGUGUCUGUAAAGUCAUCAUCAGAGGCUUUCUCUGGCAGCAGAUGGUAACAGUCAGAGAGACUCAGAGUCAACCAGAGGACACAAAGAGAACAUGGCCCGGCAAAGUGAUGCUUCUCCCCUAUUAAUCAGGGCUCACAUGGGCUCAUGGUGACUGAAACAGCAAACACAGUGCUUGUAUGUGUCUACACCAGGUUCUCUGCAUAUAUGAAAUGGCUGCUAACUUGGUAUUCUUGUGGGAUUCAUAACAAUGGGAACAUGUGUGUCUCUGUCUCUUUUGCCUGUUUUUAAGACUUUUUUC